rnacentral:tRNA from 1 species
GGGCGGUUAGCUCAGUUGGUUAGAGCGCCGUGCUCACACCGCGGAGGUCACAAGUUCGAGCCUUGUACCGCCCA